rnacentral:rRNA from 1 species
GUUGACCUCGGAUCAGGUAGGGAUACCCGCUGAACUUAAGCAUAUCAAUAAGCGGAGGAAAAGAAACCAACAGGGAUUGCCCUAGUAACGGCGAGUGAAGCGGCAAUAGCUCAAAUUUGAAAGCUGGCCUCUGGUCCGCAUUGUAAUUUGUAGAGGAUGCUUUUAGGCAGCCGCCGGUCUAAGUUCCUUGGAACAGGACGUCAUAGAGGGUGAGAAUCCCGUAUGUGACC